rnacentral:rRNA from 1 species
UGGCGGGGUGCCUAAUACAUGCAAGUCGAGCGGACAGAUGGGAGCUUGCUCCCUGAUGUUAGCGGCGGACGGGUGAGUAACACGUGGGUAACCUGCCUGUAAGACUGGGAUAACUCCGGGAAACCGGGGCUAAUACCGGAUGCUUGUUUGAACCGCAUGGUUCAGACAUAAAAGGUGGCUUCGGCUACCACUUACAGAUGGACCCGCGGCGCAUUAGCUAGUUGGUGAGGUAACGGCUCACCAAGGCAACGAUGCGUAGCCGACCUGAGAGGGUGAUCGGCCACACUGGGACUGAGACACGGCCCAGACUCCUACGGGAGGCAGCAGUAGGGAAUCUUCCGCAAUGGACGAAAGUCUGACGGAGCAACGCCGCGUGAGUGAUGAAGGUUUUCGGAUCGUAAAGCUCUGUUGUUAGGGAAGAACAAGUGCCGUUCAAAUAGGGCGGCACCUUGACGGUACCUAACCAGAAAGCCACGGCUAACUACGUGCCAGCAGCCGCGGUAAUACGUAGGUGGCAAGCGUUGUCCGGAAUUAUUGGGCGUAAAGGGCUCGCAGGCGGUUUCUUAAGUCUGAUGUGAAAGCCCCCGGCUCAACCGGGGAGGGUCAUUGGAAACUGGGGAACUUGAGUGCAGAAGAGGAGAG